GACGAACGCUGGCGGCGUGCUUAACACAUGCAAGUCGAACGGAGUGGCGAACGGGUGAGUAACACGUCUGUGAUCUGCCUUGCACUUCGGGAUAAGCUUGGGAAAACGGGUCUAAUACCGGAUAGUGCAAGAUGUGUGCGCGGCCUAUCAGCUGUUUGGUGGGGUAAUGGGCUACCGAGGCGUGGACGGGUAGCCGGCCUGCGAGGGUGUACGGCCACAAUGGGACUGAGGGACGGCCCAGACUCCUACGGGGGGCAGCGGUGGGGAAUAUUGCACAAUGAGCGGGAGCCUGAUGCAGCGGCGCCGGGUUGGGGAAGAAGGCCUUCGGAUUGUAAACGCCUUUCGACAGGGACGCGGUACCUGUAUAAGAAGCACCGGCUAACUACGUGCCAGCAGCCGCGGUAAUUC
rnacentral:rRNA from 1 species